GUUCUGCGUCAGGCAGUCGCCCGACACACUUACAAGUGUGACGGGAGGAAAGUCCGGACACGCACAUUUCAAAGAUGUAGCAGGGUAGCGGGUAACGCCCGUCGUCCGAGAGGAUAGGGAUGCGAACAGAGACGCUCGAGCCGAGAGGCGAGGGCAUCCGAAAGGAUGAGUCCCGCUGAAAAGCGGGAGUGCAACGGCAAAAUUCCUACCUGCGUGCAAGGCCGUGUCCAACCGUAAUUCUCAAUUGAAAUUACUGUUGGAAGAGCCGCUUGAGGUGAAUGGCAACAUUUAUCCCAGAUACAUGACUGCCUCGCCCGACACACUCACAGUGUGACGGGCAAGACAGAACCCGGCUUAUCGACGCAGCGAAGCG
rnacentral:RNase_P_RNA from 2 species